rnacentral:lncRNA from 1 species
AGCUUCUUUGAUCCGGUCAUGGUGGAGUAGUUACUUUUGGAUCAUCUCUGGCUCUUCAGGUGUGCUCGUGUGUAUGUGAGCAGGCUGUUUGUUCGUUGUGACACAUUGUUGUAUGGAUGUGUAUGCGUCUUGUAUCGCUGCUCUGAUUUUCCUCUUUUGCCUUCAGAGUCCACUCGGUUUGCCCCUCGCCUUGACACUCGUCUGCGAUUGCUUGAUGAUGCGUCUCCUCUGCACUUCAGGUAUGCCUGUUCCUGCAUCUGCCAUGAUUUGUUUACUGCAGUUUACAUGCAUUGUUAUUAUAAGUAAUUUGAUGUUAAUAUAGUUACGCACAUGACAAAUUUGGGUCAGACGACCUAUUAGUCCAUUACUGCAUUGUUGCUGAUAGCAUAACAAAAUCAGUAUAUGUUACAGAUUAACAAUAAUCAAAUCUGACUGAGACAUGUAUGCGUACCUUAUCUGUUCCUAUUACCUAAUAAGUGUACCAACAUGAAAUGAGUCUCAUUAAGUAAUGGGAACAUCUGUUUUUGUGUACCAUGUGUUUGAUCAAAAUGCAGACAUACAAGGCGUUUGAGUGAGUACCUCCAUAAUUCAACAUAUUCAGCUCGGUUACGACACAUGCAUGUGAUUCUUCUGUUGCCUAUAGCCAAAUCUCUCUAUGUCGUGUGUAGUUCUUGCAUGGUUAGCAAGCUGAAGUGUUGGGUGAUGCUUUUGCAUACUUAAUGAGGUGAAAUGUUGGAUGUUGCUCUUGCAUAAUUGGCUGGUUUAGGUGUAUAAAUUAGAAUCAAACUGAACUAUAACAAUUUUGAGAUCAUGAUUUGGCAUUCACAUGAAACUGAUCAAGUAAAUGGAUGUACUGCGUCACGCAUAUGUACAGAUUUAGGCCAUUUGACCAAAAUAGGUUGACAAGUACAAAACCCUUACAAAGAUGCAUGUUAGUUACACCGGCGCAUACAUGCUAGCAAAUCUCAAGCUGUUUAAAUAAUUGUCUGUUUCUAAUUUCCCGAAGUGUAUAGGGACUAGAACCUUCUGUGCACAAGAAAAAUAAGUGAUUAUGAACUUGUUUCUGUAUACAUGGAUUAUUCAUAGAAUUGUUUAGACUGUUUACUAAAGAUUGCAAGAAAGAACUUGAGACAAUUAAUAAGACAUUAUCCAUUUGAACCACUGAAGGUAAAUAUUUCUUGCUUGGUUGUUCCAGGUAUGUUACAAUAUUUGAGUUUCGUAGCUCAAGAUGUCGAUUCACAUUGUCUUAAUUCCUGCGUGCUGGUUUCUUUCUACCCCUUGGCAGGGAGAUCCAGGAAGGAGGCGAGUACGACGGUGGCAGAGGAGGAGGAUGAAGGAAUAGGCCGGGGAAGUCUAAGAAGAAAAGGUUAGUGGUGCCAUCGUUCUUUUGCUCGCCUCGCUGCUUCCCCAUCCAGACGACGAGAUGUCGCAGUCCCUCAUGUUCACUAACCUCUUCGAUGUCAGGGGCGGCACCGUCGUACUGAAACUCAAGGUGAAGGUUUCUCCGCCCCUGCUCUCACCGUGGGCAUGCAUGGAUUUCUGAUAAGUGACUGCUCUGCCGCUCAUCAGGCUGCCGACCUGCUGGUGCGUGCAAACGUGCUCUACUUGGACCCAGAGUUUGUUGCCGAGAUAGCAUAAGUGGUGAGAUUUGGUUUCGAAUCAUCCGCCAUGAUUCAAAGGAUUCAUUGUUGCUGGCAUGGAUUUUGUUUUAGCUGCACUACACCAAUCUAAGAUGGCAAUAUUGCUUUUUGUUUGUACCUGCUGAUUGAGUAUGUUUUGUAACUGCAGGAAGGCUGUGAAGGACAUAUUUCUUUCUUAUUUUAUAAAGGUAAGGUUUAUGUUCAGUGCAUUUAAUAAUUACUCUCUCCCCUUCAGUAUUUGUGAUAUGGGUAAAAUAGAUAUUAAAGCCUCUUUCUAUAUUGCUUGGUCAAUCUACACUGCAAUUUAUUAAUUUGUACUAACAUAAAGCUGCACACUUGUGUAAGUACUGCUUGAUGUUGGCCAUGAUUAGUUCAUGCUCGUCUUUUCAUUAAAGACAUAUGUUCAGUUGCAAUUUUGGAUAUUUACACAGUUGUAUGUGUUGCUUUUCUAGAUUUAGUUCGUGCAGAAAUUUGGUUUUUGAUGCAUUCAAACAUUAAUAAUCAGCAGCGACAUCAAAGGUGAGAGGUAUGAAUAAGAGCGUCUCUUCUACUGUACUUUUUUGGUGGCUUAAAGUGGUUUCUUCUCUGAAUUGGUUUGGUUUUGCAGGUGAAAAGAAGUUAUGUUGGUAGAUGGUUAUGCAUCUACUGGUUCUGAGAUGCAAGUUGUGACUUGAUAGCUCCCUUGACUCAGAUGUCAUGUCAUCUAAUUGGGCAAUCAUAUUUAAUUGUUGAAUGUGUUCAAUCUGGUUGGGGAUAAUCCACCACCUAAGAGGAUCAAGGUCUCUAAAAUAUUGUUGUUUGUUUUGUUAUCAGUUGUAAAUUCUAUUCCAAGUUCCUUGCUUAUAUGUGUAUGUUCAUCAACAAUUAGAGAAAAAAGAAAUGAAAGGGUCGCUUAUCAAUCUGGCAUCGCACAAACUUCCUCUCAAGAGGCGCCACCGGGUGGCGCCCCAACCCCUAGUGUAAGUGCAGGGGCGGAGCUCUGUAGGGGCUAAACCGGGCCAUGGGCCGCCCAGGAUUUUGACCCAAAUUUUUUU